GUAGGUGGCAAGCGUUGUCCGGAAUUAUUGGGCGUAAAGCGCGCGCAGGUGGUUCUUUAAGUCUGAUGUGAAAGCCCCCGGGCUCAACCGGGGAGGGUCAUUGGAAACUGGGGAACUUGAGUGCAGGAGAGGAAAGUGGAAUUCCACGUGUAGCGGUGAAAUGCGUAGAUAUGUGGAGGAACACCAGUGGCGAAGGCGACUUUCUGGCCUGUAACUGACACUGAGGCGCGAAAGCGUGGGGAGCAAACAGGAUUAGAUACCCUGGUAGUCCACGCCGUAAACGAUGAGUGCUAAGUGUUGGGGGGUUUCCGCCCCUCAGUGCUGCAGCCAACGCAUUAAGCACUCCGCCUGGGGAGUACGGUCGCAAAGACUG
rnacentral:rRNA from 1 species